UUGAGGUGGACCAUGGGGUUCUAGGCCCUUGUGUGCCUGAGUCUGAAUCCUGGCCUCGUCGCUUUCAGGUUCUGUGCAAAUGAACGCUUUGCUUUUAUAUUCUCUGAACCUCAGUUUUCUCAUCUGUAAAUUGGGGGAGGAACAGCUAACAGUCCCUUCUUAGAGGGCCGUGAAGAUGAACUUUCUCAAUGUUCAUUAAGCCCUUUGUCCGCACGGUCAGUGAUGCUGUUCCUCUGGCUACUGUGUCCUGGCUCCUCUGUCUUCGGAGUGUCCCCUCACGAUAUUCUGGGCUCGGGACCAGGUACAGAAUAAAUCAUCAACACGGCUGAGGCCAGGGUGAAUCCACACUCGGAACUGGGAGGGACCGCCCCCCACAGUAACUUCACAGAGGAAAGGUCUGGAGGCCAGGAGCUGGAGACGGCUCAGAGGGAGAGCGUAGGUAGGGAUAGGAGUCAGCCAGCCCCGGGAAGAGGUGCGGGGUGGGGGCCUUUUCCCCGCUUCAUCCUGGGCCCUCAGCGUGCCCUCUGCCCUCCGGAGGGAGAAGACGAGCCCUCACCAUCUUGGCCAGCUGCUGGGGGCUGGCACUGCCAGGCUCCGAGCACAGCUGAGACACCAGGUCCCUUCCGUCUGCAGGGCUGGAGAUGAAGGGGAGAUGAGAUGGAAUAUUUUAAGGCUGCAGAUGGGAAGGGGAAAGCUCAGGCUUGUUCACCAGAACCUGGCACGCUGGAGUUACAGGGCCCCCUCGGAGCACGAGUGAGCACGCUGACUGCCUACGAGGAGGCCGUCCAGGAGGCUGAAGCCAAUGCUCAGGACCUGCUGGAGGAAAGUUGAGCAGCUGCCCAGCUCUAGAACUUUCCAGGGUUCCGUGUCUGUGCCUGGUGUGGGGUGUCAGAGUGGAGGUGCUGGGGACAGGGCUCAGGAAGAAGGCCAAAGGGAAAGAACAGAAGGUGCAGGCAGAUUAACAUGGGGUUUGCAGGGGUCAGGGGUCAGGGCAGCAUCAUGAGCAGAGAUGGGAGGACAGAGUGAGAUAAUAAUAGUAUGUAACAUUGUUGCGUGUUAAGUGCCAGAGGUUUGACUUGUAUUAAGUACUGUGUGGGUGCUAAGUCGCUUCCAACGUGCGACCCCAUGGACUGUAGCCUGUUAGGCUCCAUGGGAGUCUCCAGGCAAGAACACUGGAGUGGAUUGCCGUGCCCAGUCAAUUAUCCCUUAUUCUGAGGAAGAUACCAUUAUCAUCACCCUGUUUUAUGCAAGAGAAGACAGAGUGUGAAGGGGUCAAGUGACUCGCCCAAGGUCACGCAGCUGGUGAAAGCAGCUCCCAGCCUGCUGGGAUGGCCCCAAGGAGGUAGCAGCUGCCGGCUGUCCUCUGACCCCCCCGGGGGCUCCUGUGCAACCCAGACAGUCUGGAGAAAGACUGAAGGAAGAAGGCUGGUGGGAGGGAGGGGACCGGCAGUGACUCAGCAAGGCAGGAUAAGGAUCUUCCAGCCCAGGGAGAGGUAACCCCACUCCUCUGCCAGGGGAGACGGAGUCACAGAGCCCGCGGCAUGGGUUGGCCAGGGCAGCGGAACAUCCCGAAGAACGGCGGGCAAAGCUCCUGGCGGACGGAUGGAGGGGAGCAGCUGGGGGCAUCCCUUCUGCCCUGCCCUCCUCACACAUCCAUCACCCUGACAUCCUUGCAGAUGGGGUCCCUGCACGGUGGGUGUGGUGAAGAGGGAACCGUGCUCAAGGCUGACAGUCCUCAGUUCCAGCCCUGGUUCUACCUCCUGGUGUGACUUCAGCCAAGUGGCUUCAUCUUACCAAGCCUCAAUCUUCUCGUGUAUCACAUGGGGAAACACCAGU